rnacentral:miRNA from 1 species
GGUAUCUUGUUAAAAAUGCAAAAUUUGUUUUAGUAGGUCUGGUUUGGGGCCUAAGAUUCUGCAUUUCUAACAAGUUC